rnacentral:lncRNA from 1 species
CUCGGCCAGGAGCGCGGCCGCUGCGGCCACGCGGGGCAUGGCGACGGCGUGUGAAUCGUCUGCGGGGCGGUCCUCGGCGCGUCGUGUGUGUGCCAUGGUGCAGGAGGACGCACGCAACGGGUCCCUUGUGUGGUUUUUUGUGUGUUUUGUGUCGCCCGAAAGGAGAGGGGUCGUAACGAAAAAGCAAGGCAGCGGGUCAAACAGUGUGUCCUGUCGCCUUUCUUUUCCACUUUAUUUCUUGUCGCG